rnacentral:rRNA from 1 species
AUUGAACGCUGGCGGAAUGCUUUACACAUGCAAGUCGAACGGCAGCACGGACUUCGGUCUGGUGGCGAGUGGCGAACGGGUGAGUAAUGUAUCGGAACGUGCCCAGUCGUGGGGGAUAACGUAGUGAAAAUUACGCUAAUACCGCAUACGAUCUAUGGAUGAAAGCGGGGGAUCGCAAGACCUCGCGCGAUUGGAGCGGCCGAUAUCAGAUUAGGUAGUUGGUGGGGUAAAGGCCCACCAAGCCAACGAUCUGUAGCUGGUCUGAGAGGACGACCAGCCACACUGGAACUGAGACACGGUCCAGACUCCUACAGGAGGCAGCAGUGGGGAAUUUUGGACAAUGGGCGAAAGCAUGAUCCAGCCAUUCCGCGUGCAGGAUGAAGGCCCUCGGGUUGUAAACUGCUUUUGUACAGAACGAAAAGGUUUCUACUAAUACUAGGAGCUCAUGACGGUACUGUAAGAAUAAGCACCGGCUAACUACGUGCCAGCCGCCGCAGUAA